UACGUAGGGUGCAAGCGUUAAUCGGAAUUACUGGGCGUAAAGCGUGCGCAGGCGGUGAUGUAAGACCGAUGUGAAAUCCCCGGGCUUAACCUGGGAACUGCAUUGGUGACUGCAUCGCUAGAGUAUGGCAGAGGGGGGUGGAAUUCCACGUGUAGCAGUGAAAUGCGUAGAGAUGCGGCGGAACACCGAUGGCGAAGGCAGCCCCCUGGGCUGAGAUUGACGCUCAGGCACGAAAGCGUGGGGAGCAAACAGG
rnacentral:rRNA from 1 species